ACAACCCGGAAAAUCUUGAUUAUUGUUCUUUUGCCGUAAAAAGUUAAGAGCAUUCACUUAGGGUGAGUAAGAAAUAAGUUGGGGAGAAUCGGUAAGUACCACAACUCUUGAAAAAAAUAAAAGAAAAACCGAGCAAGCAUUGAAAAUAAAAAUAUAGAAAAGAAACAUCUGUUUUGUAAAUAUGAUGUGAAAGAAAAGAACAAAAAUAGAAAGAAUGAAAAUGAAUGCUUGCUUGGAAGAAAAAUAGUGAAAAAUAAAAAUUGAGUUGUGGAAUAUGAGUUGUGAAGGUUUCAAAUAAGAAACAAAUGAAACAAAGUCGAGAUGUGUGAAUAAUAUACUGUGAAUGUCUCUUUUGCAUCGGCACUUUCGUUUCAAUGGCCUUAGAAAUGACCCUUGUUUGUUAACCUAACCAAGCUUCAACCGAAAAGCCCUUAGUGAUCUUUAUGCUUCCACAUUACCAUUUAUAAUUGUUAGACAUUGUAUGAAUCUAUUUGAUUUCUUCAUUGUUUGUUAGAGAGUGAGAUUAUUCCCGCGGUUGCAAACGCGUAAAUUCUUCAUUCCUUAUUCGAAGAGGAGAGAUAGGGUGAUUCAUUCAGAAUAAUAUUGUUGUAGAUAGAUAAAUAUUUCGCAUAGCUAUUAAGUUUUAGUUCUUG
rnacentral:lncRNA from 1 species